rnacentral:rRNA from 1 species
CCUACGGGUGGCAGCAGUGGGGAAUAUUGCACAAUGGGGGAAACCCUGAUGCAGCGACGCCGCGUGAGUGAUGAAGUACUUCGUUAUGUAAAGCUCUAUCAGCAGGGAAGUAAAUGACGGUAUGUGAGUAAGAAGCCCCGGCUAACUACGUGCCAGCAGCCGCGGUAAUACGGAGGCGGCAAGGGUUAUCCGGAUUUACUGGGUGUAAAGGGAGCGUAGACGGCAGUGCAAGUCUGGAGUGAAAGGGGGGGACUCAACCCCCGGAGUGGUCUGGAAACUGUACGGCUGGAGUGCAGGAGAGGUAAGUGGAAUUCCUAGUGUAGCGGUGAAAUGCGUAGAUAUUAGGAGGAACACCAGUGGCGAAGGCGGCUUGCUGGACUGUAACUGACGUUGAGGCUCGAAAGCGUGGGGAGCAAACAGGAUUAGAUACCCCAGUAGUC